UACGUAGGGGGCAAGCGUUGUCCGGAGUCAUUGGGCGUAAAGAGCGUGUAGGCGGCCAGACAGGUCCGUUGUGAAAACUCGAGGCUCAACCUCGAGAUGUCGAUGGAAACCGUCUGGCUAGAGUCCGGAAGAGGAGUGUGGAAUUCCUGGUGUAGCGGUGAAAUGCGCAGAUAUCAGGAAGAACACCUAUGGCGAAGGCAGCACUCUGGGACGGUACUGACGCUGAGACGCGAAAGCGUGGGGAGCGAACAGG
rnacentral:rRNA from 1 species